UAGUCCACGCUGUAAACGAUGUUCACUCGCUGUCGGCGAUACACAGUCGGCGGCUGAGCGAAAGCAUUAAGUGAACCACCUGGGGAGUACGAUCGCAAGGUUGAAACUCAAAGGAAUUGACGGGGGCCCGCACAAGCGGAGGAACAUGUGGUUUAAUUCGAUGAUACGCGAGGAACCUUACCUGGGCUUAAAUGUAGAUUGCAUAAUUUAGAAAUAGAUUUUCCCUUCGGGGCUAUUUACAAGGUGCUGCAUGGUUGUCGUCAGCUCGUGCCGUGAGGUGUCGGGUUAAGUCCCAUAACGAGCGCAACCCUUAUCGUUAGUUGCUAGCAGGUAAAGCUGAGGACUCUAGCGAGACUGCCACCGUAAGGUGAGAGGAAGGUGGGGAUGACGUCAAAUCAGCACGGCCCUUAUGCUCUGGGCUACACACGUGCUACAAUGGCCGUGACAAAGAGUUGCUACUUUGUGAAAACAAGCUAAAUCUCAUAAACGCGGCCUCAGUUCGGAUUG
rnacentral:rRNA from 1 species